rnacentral:rRNA from 1 species
UACGUAGGUGGCAAGCGUUGUCCGGAUUUAUUGGGCGUAAAGCGCGCGCAGGCGGCUAUGUAAGUCUGGUGUUAAAGCCCGGAGCUCAACUCCGGUUCGCAUCGGAAACUGUGUAGCUUGAGUGCAGAAGAGGAAAGCGGUAUUCCACGUGUAGCGGUGAAAUGCGUAGAGAUGUGGAGGAACACCAGUGGCGAAGGCGGCUUUCUGGUCUGUAACUGACG